rnacentral:rRNA from 1 species
UACGAAGGGGGCUAGCGUUGUUCGGAAUUACUGGGCGUAAAGAACGCGUAGGCGGUCUAGCAAGUUAGAAGUGAAAGCCCGGGGCUUAACCUCGGAAUUGCUUCUAAAACUGCUAAACUAGAGUGCGACAGGGGAUGAUGGAAUUCCUAGUGUAGAGGUGAAAUUCUUAGAUAUUAGGAGGAACACCGGUGGCGAAGGCGGUCAUCUGGGUCGAUACUGACGCUGAGGCGUGAAAGCGUGGGGAGCAAACAGG